AGCUGUUACAAAUCAAUCACACAUUCUCAAAAGACAUAUGCAUGGAGUUUGGCAUAGUCAAAUGCAAAACAAUCCAUAUAGAAAAAGACUCCUAAAGAAAGGAGACUUCACUCUUGAAAAUGGAAACACUAUUGAAUCCAUAGAAGAGGGUGAGGUGUACAAAUAUUUAGGAUUCCAGCAGGCCAGAUGCACAGAACAGAAGAAAACUAAACAAACACUGUCAAAACUAUACACUAUCAGAUUAAAUAACAUCCUCAAAACACAUCUGAAUGGAAAAAACACAGUCAAAGCCAUCAACACAUUUGCUAUACCAGUA
rnacentral:lncRNA from 1 species